GCGCUUGUAGUUCAAUUGGAUAGGACGUCGGAUUUCGGCUCCGAAAGUUGAGGCUUCAAGUCCUUCCUAGCGUA
rnacentral:tRNA from 1 species